rnacentral:rRNA from 1 species
AUACGUAGGGAGCGAGCGUUGUCCGGAAUUACUGGGCGUAAAGGGCGCGUAGGCGGCGCUUCAAGUCGUCUGUCAAAUGAGAGAGAUUAACCCUUUUUCGCAGACGAAACUGGAGAGCUUGAGAAGCAGAGAGGCAAACAGAAUUCCUGGUGUAGCGGUGAAAUUGGUAGAUAUCAGGAAGAAUACCAGUGGCGAAGGCGGUUUGCUGGCUGCAUACUGACGCUGAAGCGCGAAAGCCAGGGGAGCGAACGGGAUUAGAUACCCCGGUAGUCCUGGCAGUAAACGAUGUAUGCUGGGUGUGAGACUAGCGAUAGUUUCGUGCCGAAGUUAACGCGAUAAGCAUACCGCCUGGGGAGUACGGUCGCAAGAUUGAAACUCAAAGGAAUUGGCGGGG